rnacentral:siRNA from 1 species
GGAGGAUCGCCGCCAAUCGUAUGU